rnacentral:rRNA from 1 species
AUGGAGGCCGCGCGCAAGGAGGAGGACGGCGGCAGCCGCGGCGACGACAAGCUGCCGCAGGUGGUGUUCGACCGCAUCCUUCGGCGUCAGAUGGUGUACGACGCGCUCAAGCGCGGGGGCGGGGCGGAGGUGCCGUCGUGGGUCCAGCUGCUCACCAUCCUCCUUUCCUUCGGCACGUCGGCGCUCGGCAUCGCCUACUGCUCCUCGUCACAGCCGCACAGAUGCAGCAACUCCCCACAGCCGCACAGAUCCGGCAGCUCCCCACAGCCGCACAGAUCCGGCAGCUCCUCACCGCCACAGUUUCUCUUCCCGCAGCUCCUCCUACUCGAGCAGCUCCUCCGGCGGUAA